rnacentral:rRNA from 1 species
UACGUAGGGUCCAAGCGUUAUCCGGAAUCAUCGGUGGCGUAAAGCGUGCGUAGGUGGAUAGUUAAGUGCAACAUUAAAUCCCGUGGCUCAACCAUGUGGCUGUGUUGCAUACUGGCUGUCUAGAGGACAUGAGAGGCAAGUGGAAUUACUGGUGUAGCAGUGAAAUGCGUAGAUAUCAGUAGGAACACCAAAUGGCGAAGGCAGCUUGCUGGCAUGUAUCUGACGCAAGGCACGAAAGCGUGGGGAGCGAAACAGG